rnacentral:tRNA from 1 species
GCGGUUAUGGUGAAGUUGGUUAACACACCUGACUGUGAAUCAGGCAUGCUUGGGUUCGAGUCCCAAUAGCCGCCCCA